rnacentral:rRNA from 1 species
AGCGAACGCUGGCGGCAGGCCUAACACAUGCAAGUCGAACGAAGUCUUCGGACUUAGUGGCGGACGGGUGAGUAACACGUGGGAACGUACCCUUUGGUUCGGAACAACUCAGGGAAACUUGAGCUAAUACCGGAUGAGCCCUUAGGGGGAAAGAUUUAUCGCCGAAAGAGCGGCCCGCGUUAGAUUAGCUAGUUGGUGAGGUAAAGGCUCACCAAGGCUACGAUCUAUAGCUGGUCUGAGAGGAUGAUCAGCCACACUGGGACUGAGACACGGCCCAGACUCCUACGGGAGGCAGCAGUGGGGAAUCUUGCGCAAUGGGCGAAAGCCUGACGCAGCCAUGCCGCGUGAAUGAUGAAGGUCUUAGGAUUGUAAAAUUCUUUUACCAGGGACGAUAAUGACGGUACCUGGAGAAAAAGCCCCGGCUAACUUCGUGCCAGCAGCCGCGGUAAUAC